rnacentral:rRNA from 1 species
AGCAGCCGCCACGGGAAUACGUAGGGUGCGAGCGUUAAUCGGAAUUACUGGGCGUAAAGCGUGCGCAGGCGGUUCGUUAAGACAGAUGUGAAAUCCCCGGGCUUAACCUGGGAACUGCAUUUGUGACUGGCGAGCUAGAGUAUGGCAGAGGGGGGUAGAAUUCCACGUGUAGCAGUGAAAUGCGUAGAGAUGUGGAGGAAUACCGAUGGCGAAGGCAGCCCCCUGGGCCAAUACUGACGCUCACGCACGAAAGCGUGGGGAGCAAACAGGAUUAGAUACCCGCGUAGUCCCUGUCUCUUAUAA